GGAUGUGAGGGCAAUCUGGCUGCGACAUCUGUCACCCCAUCGAUCGCCAAGGUUGAUUCCGCUGAUCUGGCUGGCUAGGUGGGUGUCCCCUUCCUCCCUCACUGCUCCACGUGCGUCCCUCCUGAAGCUGCGCGCUUGGUAGAAGAGGAGGUCUUCCCCGAAUAGAGACGGACCAGUCUUCUGUGGAGGGUAUAAGAGUAGCUGCUCUUCCCUGCUAGAACCUCCAAACAAGCUCUCAAGGUCCAUAAAAUGUACUCUCCAGGACCCUCUAUGCCCUGAAUUCUCCCGCAACAAUGGACAAAUGAUACAUUUUACUCACAU
ensembl:misc_RNA 7SK 7SK RNA